UACAUAGGUUUCAAGCGUUGUUCGGAUUCAUUGGGCGUAAAGGGUGCGUAGGCGGCGCGGUAAGUCGGGUGUGAAAUCUCGGGGCUUAACUCCGAAACUGCAUUCGAUACUGCCGUGCUUGAGGACUGGAGAGGAGACUGGAAUUUACGGUGUAGCGGUGGAAUGCGUAGAUAUCGUAAGGAAGACCAGUGGCGAAGGCGGGUCUCUGGACAGUUCCUGACGCUGAGGCACGAAGGCCAGGGGAGCAAACGGG
rnacentral:rRNA from 1 species